GAUGAACGCUGGCGGCGUGCUUAACACAUGCAAGUCGAACGAUGAAGCCCAGCUUGCUGGGUGGAUUAGUGGCGAACGGGUGAGUAACACGUGAGUAACCUGCCCUUAACUCUGGGAUAAGCCUGGGAAACUGGGUCUAAUACCGGAUAGGAGCGUCCACCGCAUGGUGGGUGUUGGAAAGAUUUAUCGGUUUUGGAUGGACUCGCGGCCUAUCAGCUUGUUGGUGGGGUAAUGGCUCACCAAGGCGACGACGGGUAGCCGGCCUGAGAGGGUGACCGGCCACACUGGGACUGAGAGACGGCCCAGACUCCUACGGGAGGCAGCAGUGGGGAAUAUUGCACAAUGGGCGCAAGCCUGAUGCAGCGACGCCGCGUGAGGGAUGACGGCCUUCGGGUUGUAAACCUCUUUCAGUAGGGAAGAAGCGAAAGUGACGGUACCUGCAGAAGAAGCACCGGCUAACUACGUG
rnacentral:rRNA from 1 species